rnacentral:lncRNA from 1 species
GAAGCCGUACAUUCCCGGGGUGGACUUGGCUGGACUCCCCUGGUAUACGCGUCAACUCCUCAAAUCUAUGCCCAAAGUCUGUCGGUGCUGCCUUCGUUUAGGAUCUCAUUACUUCCAAAUCAACCAUUAAUAAUUCUUUUUAAUGCUUAAUUAAAUCUCCUGUCUUUCUCGAGGGAUUGGAACUUUCCGCCUUCCUUUGUUGACGUACGUACCAUCCCUCAUCAGACAAUUCAAACUAUAUUUGAGGGCAAGAUAAAAUUGCAAAUAUAUCUUACACAUAAAUCAC